rnacentral:rRNA from 1 species
UAACACAUGCAAGUCGAGGGGCAGCAUGGUCUUAGCUUGCUAAGGCCGAUGGCGACCGGCGCACGGGUGAGUAACACGUAUCCAACCUGCCGUCUACUCUUGGACAGCCUUCUGAAAGGAAGAUUAAUACAAGAUGGCAUCAUGAGUCCGCAUGUUCACAUGAUUAAAGGUAUUCCGGUAGACGAUGGGGAUGCGUUCCAUUAGAUAGUAGGCGGGGUAACGGCCCACCUAGUCUUCGAUGGAUAGGGGUUCUGAGAGGAAGGUCCCCCACAUUGGAACUGAGACACGGUCCAAACUCCUACGGGAGGCAGCAGUGAGGAAUAUUGGUCAAUGGGCGAGAGCCUGAACCAGCCAAGUAGCGUGAAGGAUGGCUGCCCUAUGGGUUGUAAACUUCUUUUAUAAAGGAAUAAAGUCGGGUAUGGAUACCCGUUUGCAUGUACUUUAUGAAUAAGGAUCGGCUAACUCCGUGCCAGCAGCCGCGGUAAUACGGAGGAUCCGAGCGUUAUCCGGAUUUAUUGGGUUUAAAGGGAGCGUAGAUGGAUGUUUAAGUCAGUUGUGAAAGUUUGCGGCUCAACCGUAAAAUUGCAGUUGAUACUGGAUAUCUUGAGUGCAGUUGAGGCAGGCGGAAUUCGUGGUGUAGCGGUGAAAUGCUUAGAUAUCACGAAGAACUCCGAUUGCGAAGGCAGCCUGCUAAGCUGCAACUGACAUUGAGGCUCGAAAGUGUGGGUAUCAAACAGGAUUAGAUACCCUGGCAGUCCACACGGUAAACGAUGAAUACUCGCUGUUUGCGAUAUACUGCAAGCGGCCAAGCGAAAGCGUUAAGUAUUCCACCUGGGGAGUACGCCGGCAACGGUGAAACUCAAAGGAAUUGACGGGGGCCCGCACAAGCGGAGGAACAUGUGGUUUAAUUCGAUGAUACGCGAGGAACCUUACCCGGGCUUAAAUUGCAGAUGAAUUACGGUGAAAGCCGUAAGCCGCAAGGCAUCUGUGAAGGUGCUGCAUGGUUGUCGUCAGCUCGUGCCGUGAGGUGUCGGCUUAAGUGCCAUAACGAGCGCAACCCUUGUUGUCAGUUACUAACAGGUUCCGCUGAGGACUCUGACAAGACUGCCAUCGUAAGAUGUGAGGAAGGUGGGGAUGACGUCAAAUCAGCACGGCCCUUACGUCCGGGGCUACACACGUGUUACAAUGGGGGGUACAGAGGGCCGCUACCACGCGAGUGGAUGCCAAUCCCCAAAACCUCUCUCAGUUCGGACUGGAGUCUGCAACCCGACUCCACGAAGCUGGAUUCGCUAGUAAUCGCGCAUCAGCCACGGCGCGGUGAAUACGUUCCCGGGCCUUGUACACACCGCCCGUCAAGCCAUGGGAGCCGGGGGUACCUGAAGUGCGUAAACGGGAGGAGCGCCCUAGGGUAAAACUGGUGACUGGG